AUUGAACGCUGGCGGCAGGCCUAACACAUGCAAGUCGAGCGGAGCGGCGGACGGGUGAGUAAUGCCUAGGAAUCUGCCUGGUAGUGGGGGAUAACGUCCGGAAACGGGCGCUAAUACCGCAUACUAUCAGAUGAGCCUAGGUCGGAUUAGCUAGUUGGUGGGGUAAAGGCCUAACAAGGCGACGAUCCGUAACUGGUCUGAGAGGAUGAUCAGUAACACUGGAACUGGGACACGGUCCAGACUCCUACGGGAGGCAGCAUGGUGGAAGUGUGGACAAUGGGCAAAAGCCGGAGCCAGCCAGUCCGCGUGUGUUAAGAAGGUCUUCGGAUUGUAAAGCACUUUAAGUUGGGAGGCGUUACCAACAGAGUAAGCACCGGCUAACUACGUGCCAGCAGCCGCGGUAAUAC
rnacentral:rRNA from 1 species